rnacentral:rRNA from 1 species
ACGAGGACGAACGCUGGCGGCGUGCCUAAUACAUGCAAGUCGAACGGUCUUUCUAUGGAAGCUUGCUUCCACUGAGAAGAUAGUGGCGAACGGGUGAGUAACACGUGGGUAACCUGCCCAUAAGAGGGGGAUAACAUCCGGAAACGGGUGCUAAUACCGCAUAGUUUUCUUGAUCGCAUGAUCGGGAAAGGAAAGACGGCCUUUGUGCUGUCGCUUAUGGAUGGACCCGCGGCGUAUUAGUUAGUUGGUGAGGUAACGGCUCACCAAGGCGACGAUGCGUAGCCGACCUGAGAGGGUGAUCGGCCACAUUGGGACUGAGACACGGCCCAGACUCCUACGGGAGGCAGCAGUGGGGAAUAUUGCACAAUGGGGGAAACCCUGAUGCAAGCAACGCCGCGUGAGUGAUGACGGCCUUCGGGUUGUAAAGCUCUGUCUUCAGGGACGAUAAUGACGGUACCUGAGGAGGAAGCCACGGCUAACUACGUGCCAGCCGCUGC